CAUUGAAUCACUCAUCCCACUUUGUCCAUAAACAUCGCAAAUUUUCCGAUAAAUUUCACUUGGGUUCACUUUCCUUGCAUUCAGAAAACGAAUCACAGACCUGAUUUCACAAGCGGCGGGAUUUUCAAUCAACACUGAUAUUGUAAACAAACACAACUAAACGUACGUGGCUGACAGCGAUCUCCAAAUGGCGCACGUUUCUUCUCCUUGAUACAAAGCGUCUACCGCACAUGUGCGGAACUGCGAUCGCAGCGCUGUAGCAGAUAUAAAUUGAAACGGAACUUACUUUCUGGACGUGCUAUCGUAUUUUACUAUCACAUU